AGCAAGCAGCUCUGUGCUACAAUGGAACGUGCCUCUGUCUUCUAGAAAACAAGCAAGCUGGCUCUGUGCUAUGAUGGAAUGUACCUUGGUCUUCUACAAAACAAGCAAGCAGCUCUGUGCUACAAUGGAACGUGCCUCAGUCUUCUAGAAAACAAGCAAGCUGGCUCUGUGCUAUGAUGGAAUGUACCUCAGUCUUCUACAAAACAAGCAAGCUGACUCUGUGCUAUGAUGGAAUGGACCUUGGUCUUCUACAAAACAAGGUA